GAUGAACGCUGGCGGCGUGCCUAAUACAUGCCAGUCGAGCGAACGGACGAGAAGCUUGCUUCUCUGAUGUUAGCGGCGGACGGGUGAGUAACACGUGGAUAACCUACCUAUAAGACUGGGAUAACUUCGGGAAACCGGAGCUAAUACCGGAUAAUAUUUUGAACCGCAUGGUUCAAAAGUGAAAGGCGGUCUUGCUGUCACUUAUAGAUGGAUCCGCGCUGCAUUAGCUAGUUGGUAAGGUAACGGCUUACCAAGGCAACGAUGCAUAGCCGACCUGAGAGGGUGAUCGGCCACAAUGGAACUGAGACAAGGUCCAGACUCCUACGGGAGGCAGCAGUAGGGAAUCUUCCGCAAUGGGCGAAAGCCUGACGGAGCAACGCCGCGUGAGUGAUGAAGGUCUUCGGAUCGUAAAACUCUGUUAUUAGGGAAGAACAUAUGUGUAAGUAACUGUGCACAUCUUGACGGUACCUAAUCAGAAAGCCACGGCUAACUACGUG
rnacentral:rRNA from 1 species